UUUCAAGGGCUGAACUUCAACCAUCUCUCCACUAUUCAAUUUUGCCGCUCCUUUCUAACCCUUGUACUAAGUCCACUACCAUGUCCUUCCAUCUAGAUUCGGACAGAAACCUGAUUUAUGAGGAUGUCCCUCACGACAACAAGGAGCUGCAAGAGGCUGAGGAUCUAGGAUGGAGCUCCAGUGAGUUCGAAAGCUACAGCGAAGACUCUGCGGAUGAGAACAAGCUGGAGGCGGAACCGGCCAAGCCGAAGGUCUCCUUCCAGCCAAAGCCGCGUUCUCCAGACCUCCACAGGCUAAAGGAGAGAUACAGCAGGACCAAGAGAGACAUCUUGGCCUUGAGAGUCGGGGGGAGAGACAUGCAGGAACUCAAGCAACGCUACGACUGUAAGGUACUCUUCCCUUGCCUUUAAAACACAACAACCUUGAAAUCGAUCCUCUCUUUAGACGAGGGUUGAAUGAAAAGUAAUGUCUCCACCUUCGUUACUUGGGUUUGCAUAGGAGUAUUUUAAUAAAUCAAGCGCAGAAAUAAUCCUUAGAAUGUGCUCUUUAACCACCACUAUUCACUUUUCCACAUCAUCACCGGACCAUUGGGUACAUUUCUGCCAACAAUGGACAAGUUUUCUGAAGCCGUCACGGAAGAAGUCGACACUCGGUUUCCUCAACCAGCGUCUCACAGUUCUCUCAACAUUUUAAUAAAUCAAACGUAGCAAUAAUCCUUAGAAUGUGCUCUUUAACAACCACUAUUUACUUUUCCACAUCAUCACCAGACAAUUGGAUACAUUUCUGCCAACGAUGAACAAGUUUUCUGAAGCCAUCACAGAAGAAGUCAACACUCAGUUUCCUCAACCAGCAUCUCACAGUUCUCUCAAUAUUUUAAUAAAUCAAACGUAGAAAUAAUCCUGAGAAUAUGCUCUUUAACAACCACUAUUUACUUUUCGAGAUCAUCACCAGACAAUUGGAUACAUUUCUGCCAACGACGAACAAGUUUUCUCAAGCAGUCACGGAAGAAGUCGACACUCGGUUUCCGCAACCGACGUCUCACAGUUCCCAUCAUUUUUCUUUUUUUCCCCUUUUUUUUAUAAAUUAAUUUUUAUUAAUGCUUUCCACAUAAAAUUACAAUAAAAUCGAAAUAUAACAUAAAGUAAGUGGGGGGGGGGGGGGGAGGAGAAGAAAAGGGAGAAAGCCAAAAUUAAUGUCAAUGAUACCAAACAGAAAAACAAAAUCGAAAACAACAACAAAUCGAGACAAAACAAGAGAGAGAGAAGAAGAGGGAAAGAA
rnacentral:lncRNA from 11 species